rnacentral:rRNA from 1 species
UACGUAGGGUGCGAGCGUUGUCCGGAGUUAUUGGGCGUAAAGAGCUCGUAGGCGGUGUGUCGCGUCGGCCGUGAAAACCUGCAGCUUAACUGUGGGCUUGCGGUCGAUACGGGCAUCACUGGAGUUCGGCAGGGGAGACUGGAAUUCCUGGUGUAGCGGUGAAAUGCGCAGAUAUCAGGAGGAACACCGGUGGCGAAGGCGGGUCUCUGGGCCGAUACUGACGCUGAGGAGCGAAAGCGUGGGGAGCGAACAGG